rnacentral:rRNA from 1 species
AGUGAACGCUGGCGGCGUGCCUAACACAUGCAAGUCGAACGGGCUAGUGCUUCGCACUAGUCUCUUUCUGGGGUUGUUACUCUAAGGCUACCUGCUAAAGUUAUUGCUUUAAAGCAGGGGUUUUUAGGAGACUUUCCCCGAAAGGGGCCAGUGCGGAGCACUGGCCAGUGGCGAACGGGUGAGUAACACGUGGGUAAUCUACCCUCGAGUGGGGAAUAAGCUUCCGAAAGGGGGUCUAAUGCCGCAUAACGUUUCAUAACGAUGGUUAUGAACCAAAGCCCAAAAGGCGCUCGAGGAGGAGCCUGCGUCCUAUCAGCUUGUUGGCAGGGUAAUGGCCUACCAAGGCUAUGACGGGUAGCCGGCCUGAGAGGGUGUCCGGCCACACUGGAACUGAGACACGGUCCAGACUCCUACGGGAGGCAGCAGUGGGGAAUUUUGCGCAAUGGGGGAAACCCUGACGCAGCGACGCCGCGUGGAGGAUGACGGCCUCGGUUGUAACUCCUGUCAGAAGGACGAAAUACCCGCAAC